ACGGAAGGCAGCAGUGGGGAAUAUUGGGCAAUGGGCGAAAGCCUGACCCAGCAACGCCGCGUGAAGGAAGAAGGCCUUCGGGUUGUAAACUUCUUUUAUCAGGGACGAAGGAAGUGACGGUACCUGAUGAGUAAGCCACGGCUAACUACGUGCCAGCAGCCGCGGUAAUACGUAGGUGGCAAGCGUUAUCCGGAUUUACUGGGUGUAAAGGGCGCGUAGGCGGGGACGCAAGUCAGAUGUGAAAUCUAUGGGCUUAACCCAUAAACUGCAUUUGAAACUGUGUCUCUUGAGUGUCGGAGAGGUAGAUGGAAUUCCUAGUGUAGCGGUGAAAUGCGUAGAUAUUAGGAGGAACACCAGUGGCGAAGGCGAUCUACUGGACGAUAACUGACGCUGAGGCGCGAAAGCGUGGGGAGCAAACAGGAUUAGAUACCCUGGUA
rnacentral:rRNA from 1 species